AGAAGCUUCUGCCUUCACCCAUCCCUCCAGCUCUGCAGGACAGGUGGGGUCCAGGGUCCGUGGAGCACUAGACCUAAGGAAGCCUGCAUGGGGAGGACACAGGACAGUGACAUCACAGGGUACCCCUCCCAUCAGGAAAAUCAAGGCCCAGAACUCACUCAACUCUAUCCCAGGAGAACCAAGCCCUGCGUCAGGUGCAGUGCUGCCUGCCCCACUGUGCCAUGGGCCCCGGGCUUCUCUGCUGGGCGCUGCUUUGUCUCCUGGGAGCAGGCUCAGUGGACGCUGGAGUCACCCAAGUUCCCACACACCUGAUCAGAACGAGAGGACAGCAAGUGACUUUGAGAUGCUCUCCUAUCUCUGGGCACACCAGUGUGUCCUGGUACCAACAGGCCCUGGGUCAGGGGCCCCAGCUUAUCUUUGAAUAUGAUAGGAAGGAAGAGAGAGUCAGAGGCAACUUCCUUGAUCGAUUCUCAGGUCGCCAGUUCCCUAACUAUAGCUCUGAGCUGAAUGUGAACGCCUCGGAGAUGGGGGACUCGGCCCUGUAUCUCUGUGCCAGCAGCUUGGCACAGCCCGGCAGAGUCACUGACAUUCUGUAUGUAAACUUCCUGCCUUAGCUUUGACUUGAGAGCUGCAGGCCCCACCGAGGUUUCACUCUUUCAAGGGAAGCUUUUAGUUGUUUGGAAGGCAUGUCUUGUGUCCUACUGAGUGCAGAGCUCUCCCAACUAACAGAGUCCAGGUUUCCUGUGCCCUGAGAGUGCCCGC